UUCCAGACUCCUACGGGAGGCAGCAGUGGGGAAUAUUGCACAAUGGGGGAAACCCUGAUGCAGCGACGCCGCGUGAGUGAAGAAGUAUUUCGGUAUGUAAAGCUCUAUCAGCAGGGAAGAAAAUGACGGUACCUGACUAAGAAGCCCCGGCUAACUACGUGCCAGCAGCCGCGGUAAUACGUAGGGGGCAAGCGUUAUCCGGAUUUACUGGGUGUAAAGGGAGCGUAGACGGUAGAGCAAGUCUGAAGUGAAAGCCCGCGGCUCAACUGCGGGACUGCUUUGGAAACUGUUCAACUGGAGUGCUGGAGAGGUAAGCGGAAUUCCUAGUGUAGCGGUGAAAUGCGUAGAUAUUAGGAGGAACACCAGUGGCGAAGGCGGCCUACUGGACGGUGACUGACGCUGAGGCUCGAAAGCGUGGGGAGCAAACAGGAUUAGAUACCCGAGUAA
rnacentral:rRNA from 1 species